GACGGAGGAUGCAAGCGUUGUCCGGAAUUAUUGGGCGUAAAGAGCUCGUAGGCGGUUUGUCGCGUCUGCUGUGAAAACCCGAGGCUCAACCUCGGGCCUGCAGCCGAUACGGGCAGACUAGAGUUCGGCAGGGGAGACUGGAAUUCCUGGUGUAGCGGUGAAAUGCGCAGAUAUCAGGAGGAACACCGGUGGCGAAGGCGGGUCUCUGGGCCGAUACUGACGCUGAGGAGCGAAAGCGUGGGGAGCGAACAGG
rnacentral:rRNA from 1 species